GCUUCCAUACCUGUUUACUAUAUGUCCAAUAUCCUCUUUCCAAAAAAAUUCCUUGCGAAGCUCACGGCAAUCAUUCGUAAUUUUUGGUGGGUUGGUGUUAGAGAGGAAGCUAGUGCAAGAGCUUUAUGUCUCAGGGCUUGGAAAGAUAUUUGUACUCCUAAAAAAGAAGGUGGAUUGGGAAUCAAAAACAUGUUGGCUAUGAAUCAAGGUCUCCUUCUUGUGGCUGCCUAG
rnacentral:rRNA from 1 species